rnacentral:rRNA from 1 species
CCUACGGGUGGCAGCAGUGAGGAAUAUUGGUCAAUGGGCUUACGCCUGAACCAGCCAAGUCGCGUGAGGGAAGACUGCCCUAUGGGUUGUAAACCUCUUUUGUCAGGGAGCAAAUGGCGCUACGUGUAGCGUUAUCGAGAGUACCUGCAGAAAAAGCAUCGGCUAACUCCGUGCCAGCAGCCGCGGUAUUACGGAGGAUGAGAGCGUUCUCCGGAUUUUUUGGGUUUAAAGGGUGCGUGGGGGGAAGGCCAAGUCAGCGGUAAAAUCGCGGGGCUCAACCUCGCUCCGCCGUUGAUACUGGCGUUCUAGAGUGGACGAGAAGUAUGCGGAAUGCGUGGUGUAGCGGUGAAAUGCAUAGAUAUCACGCAGAACUCCGAUUGCGAAGGCAGCAUACCGGCGCCCAACUGACGCUGAGGCACGAAAGCGUGGGUAUCGAACAGGAUUAGAUACCCCAGUAGUC